rnacentral:lncRNA from 1 species
AUUAAGUAGUUAUGAGCAUGUGACCAUGCUUGAGCUACUAUCCUUGGACUAUCAGUAGUUGUUAUAGUUGCUCAUGGAACUGGUUAAAUGUUAAAGCAUAAUGACUGUUUACCGAUCCGGAAAGUUCGGGAUGCAUGCUUUUGUUUGUCGUGCAUGUGUCUCUUUCUCAUUUUGUUCUUUCCAUAUGCACUGCUCAGAUAAACUGUACUAGUUCACUGACAGUUGAUUGAUUGGUGAAACUUGUUAGUAAUUAUUGGAACUGGUUAAAUGUUAAAGCAUUAUAAGUGUUUACAGAUCCAGAAAGCUCGGGAUGAAUACUUGUUUUUGAUGUGCACGUGUUUCUUUCUCAUUUUGUUCUUUCCAAUAUGCACCGCUCAAAGUACUAGUUAUCUGACAGUUGAUUGAUUGGAGAAACGUGUUAGUAAUUAUUGGAUAGUAGUUAUGAGCUUUGUUAGUCAUUGAUCGAUUAAGUAGAUAUGACCACGUGUUGGUAAUCAACCGAUUAAGUAGAUAUGAACACGUGCUUGUAAUCAACUGAUUGUGUAGCUCUGAGCGCUGUUAUUAAGUAACGGAUUGAGUAGUUCCAAGCGCCUUUUAGAAAUUAACGGUUAAGUACUGAGCACGUGUUAGCAAUUAACAUCACGUGGUAGUAAUUGAUGGAUUAAGUAGUUAUGAGCACGUGACCAUGCUUGAGCUACCAUCUUUGGACUAUCAGUACUUGUUAUAGUUUCUCAUGGAACUGGUUAAACGUUAAAGCAUAAUAACUGUUUACUGAUCCGGAAAGUUCGGGAUGCAUGCUUUUGUUUGUCGUGCAUUUGUUUCUUUCUCAUUUUGUUCUUUCCAUAUGCACUGCUCAGAUAAACUGUACUAGUUCACUGACAGUUGAUUGAUUGGUGAAACUUGUUAGUAAUUAUUGGAACUGGUUAAACGUUAAAGCAUUAUAAGUGUUUACAGAUCCAGAAAGCUCGGGAUGAAUACUUGUUUUUGAUGUGCACGUGUUUCUUUCUCAUUUUGUUCUUUCCAAUAUGCACCGCUCAGAGUACUAGUUAUCUGACAGUUGAUUGAUUGGAGAAACGUGUUAGUAAUUAUUGGAUAGUAGUUAUGAGCUUUGUUAGUCAUUGAUCGAUUAAGUAGAUAUGACCACGUGUUGGUAAUCAACCGAUUAAGUAGAUAUGAACAUGUGCUUGUAAUCAACUGAUUGUGUAGCUCUGAGCGCUGUUAUUAAGUAACGGAUUGAGUAGUUCCAAGCGCCUUUUAGAAAUUAAUGGUUAAGUACAGAGCACGUGUUAGCAAUUAACAUCACGUGGUAGUAAUUGAUGGAUUAAGUAGUUAUGAGCAAGUGACAACGCUUGAGCUACUAUCCUUGGACUAUCAGUACUUGUUAUAGUUGCUCAUGGAACUGGUUAAAUGUUAAAGCAUAAUAACUGUUUACUGAUCCGGAAAGUUCGGGAUGCAUGCUUUUGUUUGUCGUGCAUGUGUUUCUUUCUCAUUUUGUUCUUUCCAUAUGCACUGCUCAGAUAAACUGUACUAGUUCACUGACAGUUGAUUGAUUGGUGAAACUUGUUAGUAAUUAUUGGAACUGGUUAAAUGUUAAAGCAUUAUAAGUGUUUACAGAUCCUGAAAGCUCGGGAUGAAUAAUUGUUUUUGAUGUGCACGUGUUUCUUUCUCAUUUUGUUCUUUCCAAUAUGCACCGCUCAGAGUACUAGUUAUCUGACAGUUGAUUGAUUGGAGAAACGUGUUAGUAACUAUUGGAUAGUAGUUAUGAGCUUUGUUAGUCAUUGAUCGAUUAAGUAGAUAUGACCACGUGUUGGUAAUCAACCGAUUAAGUAGAUAUGAGCAUGUGCUUGUAAUCAACUGAUUGUGCAGCUCUGAGCGUUGUUAUUAAGUAACGGAUUGAGUAGUUCCAAGCGCCUUUUAGAAAUUAACGGUUAAGUACUGAGCAUGUGUUAGCAAUUAACAUCACGUGGUAGUAAUUGAUGGAUUAAGUAGUUAUGAGCACGUGACCACGCUUGAGCUACUAUCCUUGGACUAUCAGUACUUGUUAUAGUUUCUCAUGGAACUGGUUAAAUGUUAAAGCAUAAUAACUGUUUACUGAUCCGGAAAGUUCGGGAUGCAUGCUUUUGUUUGUCGUGCAUGUGUUUCUUUCUCAUUUUGUUCUUUCCAUAUGCACUUCUCAGAUAAACUGUACUAGUUCACUGACAGUUGAUUGAUUGGUGAAACUUGUUAGUAAUUAUUGGAACUGGUUAAAUGUUAAAGCAUUAUAAGUGUUUACAGAUCCAGACAGCUCGGGAUGAAUACUUGUUUUUGAUGUGCACGUGUUUCUUUCUCAUUUUGUUUCUUUCCAAUUUGCACCGCUCAGAGUACUAGUUAUCUGAGUGUUGAUUGAUUGGAGAAACGUGUCAGUAAUUAUUGGAUAGUAGUUAUGAGCUUUGUUAGUCAUUGAUCGAUUAAGUAGAUAUGACCACGUGUUGGUAAUCAAACGAUUAAGUAGGUAUGAACACGUGCUUGUAGUCAACUGAUUAUGUAGCUCUGAGCGCUGUUAUUAAGUAACGGAUUGAGUAGUUCCAAGCACCUUUUAGAAAUUAAUGGUCAAGUACUGAUCACGUGUUAGCAAUUUAACAGUUUGAGUAGUUCAGAUCACGUGGUAGUAAUUGAUGGAUUAAGUAGUUAUGAGCACAUGACCAUGCUUGAGCUACUAUCCUUGAACUAUCAGUACUUGUUAGUUGCUCAUGGAACUGGUUAAAUGUUAGAGCAUAAUAACUGUUUACUGAUCCAGAAAGUUCGGGAUGCAUACUCUUGUUUGUCGUGCAUGUGUUUCUUUCUCAUUUUGUUCUUUCCAUAUGCACCUCAGAUAAACUGUACUAGUUCACUGACGAUUGAUUGGUGAAACAUGUUAGUAAUUAUUGGAGGGUAGUUUUCAGCUUCGUUAGUUAUUGACCGAUUAAGUAGAUAUGAACACGUGCUUCUAAUCAACUGAUUGUGUAGCUCUGAGCACAUGUUAGUAAUUAAUGGAUUGAGUAGUUCUGAGCACUUUUUUGAAAUUAAUGAUCGAGUAUUGAGCACGUGUUAGCAAUUAACAGUUUGAGUAGUUCCGAUCAUGUGAUAGUAAUUGAUGGACUAAGUACUUAUGAGCACGUGACCAUGCUCAAGCUACUGUCUGUUAUGUUAAGAAUACAGAUUGCUUGAUGAGAGUAUAUGGAAUCAUAUAUGGUAGGAAUCUAUGGUUAUGAUUGAUUUGCAACAUUGGAAUCUCCAUUUCCUUCUUUCUUCUUAAAUGUACUUUUGUUGAAGCAAAAACAGUUAGUUUACUGGCUUCAAUUUAUUGAGGAAACUGUGGUUAUCUAGUAAAAGUAAGUAGUUCCGUUUGUUCUCUGGUUUUAUCUCGUUAAACACAUGCUAGCGGCCAUUGAAGGCAAGAUGCGUGCCUGUGAAAAGUGAAAGUAGUUUUGCUUGUUCUUUCUAUUUUAUCUUUAGUGCGAGUGAACAUGUGUCAGUGGCCGUUUGUGCCUAUGGAUAGGCUGAAACGUUGACUAUAAUGCCCUUCUAUCCGCUUGCAUGCAUUGUAUCUUUAUAUUCUUACAUGCUGUUGAAAGCAAACUUACAUGAUGGAAAAAGGUUAAUUCACUGGCUUAUGAUUGGCUUGAGAUGAAGUUCAAUUGUUAAAUGAACUAUAAAAGAAAAAGUUCUUUUUCUUGUGCACCAUUUUUGUUGAAGAGAUUGUGAGCUAGAUGUCUCACCCUUAUUUCUUGAUACAAUUGAUCGAUCAGCAUGACUUGCUUGUCAUUGAAGCUUUGCAUUGCGUGACUUAAAAUCUUUUAUCACUGAGUUUAGCUCUUGCUUUGAAAUUGCAUUUCUGAAAAGUAAAAGUGAUCCGAUUAUCACUAUUGACCAGAUCUUAGAAACAUGUCAAGCUCAAUUAGUUUACUUGUUUACCUCCCCUACUUGGAAGUUUUACUGUUUUUUCUCAGAUGUGUGUUUCUGAUCAGCUCAAGAAGGCACACCUUCUUGUCUGUAUGGUAGCCCACAAGCCAAAUAAUCGGCCUGAUGCUCUUGUGAAAAUAUUGGCAUUCUUUAAUUGCCUAUUUGAAAUGUGGGAAAUUUGU